ACCAAUCCGUUGGACUAUUGUGUCUGGAGUAUUUUGGAAAGUAAUUCAAACGCUUCACCGGGAAUGGGCCAAAAUACCGCAGAACAACAUUCGGGCAGUGUGUGACGGUUUCAUUGGCCGUUUGAAGGCCGUAAUUCGUGCCAAAGGUGA